rnacentral:rRNA from 1 species
AGAGGGAGCUGCUCCCUGAUGUUAGCGGCGGACGGGUGAGUAACACGUGGGUAACCUGCCUGUAAGACUGGGAUAACUCCGGGAAACCGGGGCUAAUACCGGAUGGUUGUUUGAACCGCAUGGUUCAAACAUAAAAGGUGGCUUCGGCUACCACUUACAGAUGGACCCGCGGCGCAUUAGCUAGUUGGUGAGGUAANGGCUCACCAAGGCAACGAUGCGUAGCCGACCUGAGAGGGUGAUCGGCCACACUGGGACUGAGACACGGCCCAGACUCCUACGGGAGGCAGCAGUGGUCUG